rnacentral:rRNA from 1 species
UACGUAGGGCGCAAGCGUUGUCCGGAAUUAUUGGGCGUAAAGAGCUCGUAGGCGGUCUGUCGCGUCCGUUGUGAAAACUCGAGGCUCAACCUCGGGCUUGCAGUGGAUACGGGCAGACUAGAGUGCGGUAGAGGCGAGCGGAAUUCCUGGUGUAGCGGUGGAAUGCGUAGAUAUCAGGAAGAACACCGGCGGCGAAGGCGGCUCGCUGGGCCAGAUCCGACACUCAUCCGCGAAAGCGUGGGGAGCAAACAGG